rnacentral:rRNA from 1 species
AUUGAACGAUGGCGGAAUGCUUUACACAUGCAAGUCGAACGGCAGCACGGACUUCGGUCUGGUGGCGAGUGGCGAACGGGUGAGUAAUGUAUCGGAACGUGCCCAGUCGUGGGGGAUAACGUAGUGAAAAUUACGCUAAUACCGCAUACGAUCUAAGGAUGAAAGCGGGGGAUCGCAAGACCUCGCGCGAUUGGAGCGGCCGAUAUCAGAUUAGGUAGUUGGUGGGGUAAAGGCGCACCAAGACAACGAUCUGUAGCUGGUCUUAGAGGACGACCAGCCACACUGGAACGGAGACACGGUCCAGACUCCGACGGGAGGCAGCAGUGGGGAAUUUUGGACAAUGGGCGAAAGCCUGAUCCAGCCAUUCCGCGUGCAGGAUGAAGGCCCUCGGGUUGUAAACUGCUUUUGUACAGAACGAAAAGGUUUCUACUAAUACUAGGAGCUCAUGACGGUACUGUAAGAAUAAGCACCGGCUAACUACGUGCCAGCAGCCGCUGUAA